UACGGAGGGUGCAAGCGUUGCUCGGAAUUAUUGGGCGUAAAGGGUAGGUAGGUGGUCUCAUUUGUCUGGGGUGAAAGCCUUGAGCUUAACUCAAGAAGUGCCUCAGAAACGGUGAGCCUAGAGUCCUGGAGAGGGUCGUGGAAUUCCCGGUGUAGCGGUGAAAUGCGCAGAUAUCAGGAAGAACACCCGUGGCGAAAGCGGCUCUCUGGAACGGUACUGACGCUGAGACGCGAAAGCGUGGGGAGCGAACAGG
rnacentral:rRNA from 1 species